rnacentral:rRNA from 1 species
UACGAAGGGGGCUAGCGUUGCUCGGAAUUACUGGGCGUAAAGCGCGUGCAGGCGGCCUUGCAAGUCGGACGUGAAAUCCCACGGCUCAACCGUGGAAGUGCAUUCGAAACUGCGAGGCUGGAGUCCUGGAGAGGAAAGUGGAAUACUCGGUGUAGAGGUGAAAAUUCGUAGAUAUCGAGUGGAACACCGGUGGCGAAGGCGGCUUUCUGGACAGGUACUGACGCUGAGACGCGAAAGCGUGGGGAGCAAACAGG